GAUGAACGCUGAAAGCGUGACUAAUACAUGCAAGUCGAGCGAACGGAAAAGAAACAUGAAAAUAAGCAAAUAAAAACGAACAAAAAAAAAAACAAUGCAAACACAAAACAAACGACUGGGAUAACUACGAAACCACGACGCUAAUACCGGAUAAUAUUUUGAACCGCAUGGUUCAAAAGUGAAAGACGGUCUUGCUGUCACUUAUAGAUGGAUCCGCGCUGCAUUAGCUAGUUGGUAAGGUAACGGCUUACCAAGUCAACGGUGCAUAGCCGACCUGCGAGGGUGAUAGGCCACACUGGAACUGAGACACGGUCCAGACUCCUACGGGAGGCAGCAGUAGGGAAUCUUCCGCAAUGGGCGAAAGCCUGACGGAGCAACGCCGCGUGAGUGAUGAAGGUCUUCGGAUCGUAAAACUCUGUUAUUAGGGAAGAACAUAUGUGUAAGUAACUGUGCACAUCUUGACGGUACCUAAUCAGAAAGCCACGGCUAACUACGUG
rnacentral:rRNA from 1 species